AUCAUCCACUCAUAUUUUGCUUAAUUUCCCUCUCAAGGUGUGACCAUGGUUCUACAAACUAAAAAUACCGAAAAUACCCCUGGUGCUACAAAAUCCUGUUAUAAAGAUAUGGGAAAUUCAAAAAAAUACAUCAAGUCAUUUGUUAGUGCAUCUUUUAAGGACCACAAGGCUUGCUUCAACGCAACUUGGCACAAGAUGGUUGACAAAUUUCAAAAAGCAAAAUCUGUUGCACCAAAACAUGGAAAAGAAUAAAUUUGCUCAUUAGUUUUUUUUUUUUUUUUGGUGGAAUUAUGUUAUUUUUGUAAUGCACUUAUAUUUCCAAGAUAUGCUUUAAAUAUGUAAAGAAUUCAAAGAAUUUAGCAAAGUUUCUUUUUCUUUUUU